UGGUGGAGGAGCCGCAGUCCAUGUUGCAGCUUCCUCCCUCAAGUGCUACUGGAGGGGAAGGACUUACGGAGGUCUCCCCAGAAACAACCACUCUGGAGCCCCCGUCUUCCACUGCAGUUUCUCCGGGAACAGAGGAACCUGCUGGCGACACCAAGAAAAAAAUUGACAUUUUGCUAAAGGCUGUGGGAGAUACUCCUAUUAUGAAAACAAAGAAGUGGGCAGUAGAGCGAACAUGAACCAUCCAAGGACUCAUUGACUUCAUCAAAAAGUUUCUUAAACUUGUGGCCUCAGAACAGUUGUUUAUUUAUGUGAAUCAGUCCUUUGCUCCUUCCCCAGACCAAGAAGUUGGAACUCUCUCUGAGUGUUUUGGCAGUGAUGGUAAACUGGUUUUACAUUACUGCAAGUCUCAGGCAUGGGGA
rnacentral:lncRNA from 1 species